rnacentral:rRNA from 1 species
UGCCAGCCGCCGCAGUAAUACGGAGGGGGCUAGCGUUGUUCGGAAUUACUGGGCGUAAAGAGCUCGUAGGCGGACGUGCAAGUUAGAGGUGAAAUCCCAGGGCUUAACCCUGGAACUGCCUUUAAAACUGCAUGUCUAGAGUCCGGAAGAGGUAAGGGGAAUACCUAGUGUAGAGGUGAAAUUCGUAGAUAUUAGGUAGAACACCAGUGGCGAAGGCGCCUUACUGGUCCGGUACUGACGCUGAGGAGCGAAAGCGUGGGGAGCAAACAGGAUUAGAUA